rnacentral:lncRNA from 1 species
AAUGAUCAUUGAAUUUUAAACACAAAGUUGGAAAUCUCAAUUAAACCAUUGCAAGGUAUGAACUCUUAUCAUUCUGAGACCAUUAGUUAAUAAGAACAAGAGAGACUAUAACUACUAGUUAAACCAUAUUCAAUUAGUUUAAGAAGAUAUCUCACAACUGAUCAUUCUUCAAUCCUUUACAUGUACAAUUAUAUCUAUGAAGAGGAGCAAGAUCCUCCCCACGAUUUACCUACACGAUCUUAACACUCCUGCUUAAAAAAAAAGAAGAUAUUAACGUUCCACCAUUUUCAGCUGUUUGAAUUGUUUCUCUCUCUAUUAUUGUAUUACCUCAGGUGUUUCAAUUGUUUGCAUCCAUCUCCAUGGGAUACACUCUCAGUUUCACUGAAUCUGAUGGUACUGUGUGAUACCGCGUUUUGGUGGAAGCUUUCUUAGUAUAAAGAGGACCAGAGAAGAAGGUAAUAUCUCCACCAACUGUAAUUAAACCAGAUAACACGACUUCUGUUAGAGAUUUUCAAAACAAGUUUCACACUUCUAUUUUUACAUCCAUGAUCCAUUAUGUAUAUAGCUUACCAGGUAAUAUAUGAAAUUUAGGAUGGGGUGAUCCAAGACAUCAAGAUCCGCUGCAUCGUCGAACGCAUUAAAGCACAUCUACA